GAUGAACGCUGGCGGCGUGCCUAAUACAUGCAAGUCGAGCGAACAGAUAAGGAGCUUGCUCCUUUGACGUUAGCGGCGGACGGGUGAGUAACACGUGGGUAACCUACCUAUAAGACUGGGAUAACUUCGGGAAACCGGAGCUAAUACCGGAUAACAUUUGGAACCGCAUGGUUCUAAAGUGAAAGAUGGUUUUGCUAUCACUUAUAGAUGGACCUGCGCCGUAUUAGCUAGUUGGUAAGGUAACGGCUUACCAAGGCGACGAUACGUAGCCGACCUGAGAGGGUGAUCGGCCACACUGGAACUGAGACACGGUCCAGACUCCUACGGGAGGCAGCAGUAGGGAAUCUUCCGCAAUGGGCGAAAGCCUGACGGAGCAACGCCGCGUGAGUGAUGAAGGGUUUCGGCUCGUAAAACUCUGUUAUUAGGGAAGAACAAAUGUGUAAGUAACUGUGCACGUCUUGACGGUACCUAAUCAGAAAGCCACGGCUAACUACGUG
rnacentral:rRNA from 1 species